rfam:Zea mays cultivar B73 chromosome 2, whole genome shotgun sequence.
GGAUGCGAUCAUACCAGCACUAAAGCACCGGAUCCCAUCAGAACUCCGAAGUUAAGCGUGCUUGGGCGAGAGUAGUACUAGGAUGGGUGACCUCCUGGGAAGUCCUCGUGUUGCAUACC